rnacentral:lncRNA from 1 species
AUGAGAAUAAGGGGAAGGGGGAUGGCCAAAGACGGCCAGACGUCCACCGAGCUUCCCCAGGCCAGGCCUCUCCCUCCUCCAGCCGGGCCACAACGCGGGCUCCGCGGCCCGGGGCAACAUAGCCAGGGUGUCUGGGCGGGAGGCAGGGCCCGGCGCGGAGGAAGGAGCCUGGGGCCGCCGCCGCCCGCCCACCCCAGCGAGGCCGGCGCCCGGAGGAGCAGGAGGAGGAGGAGGAGAGGUCGGAGCCGUCUCCAGGAGCCCUUAGAGACCGAGUCCCGGCGGCGACGGCGGGGCAGCGCACCAGCAGGCGGAUUCAUUCCACUUAAAACCUGAAAACAUUGGACCACACAAAGUCUUACUGUAAAGACUAGUAUAGUUGGCACCUUUGUGCAGCCCCAGGAGGUCUGGAAGCAGGGGUGCAUAACCUUCCAUGGGUGGAAAAGGAGAAGAAGGCGGAGUCUGAACUAGUGAGAUGACCCAAACUGGUGACUGAGGCUUGGUCAG